UACGUAGGGUGCAAGCGUUAAUCGGAAUUACUGGGCGUAAAGCGUGCGCAGGCGGUUUUGUAAGUCUGUCGUGAAAUCCCCGGGCUCAACCUGGGAAUUGCGAUGGAGACUGCAAGGCUAGAAUCUGGCAGAGGGGGGUAGAAUUCCACGUGUAGCAGUGAAAUGCGUAGAGAUGUGGAGGAACACCGAUGGCGAAGGCAGCCCCCUGGGUCAAGAUUGACGCUCAUGCACGAAAGGCGUGGGGAGCAAACAGGAUUAGAGUACCC
rnacentral:rRNA from 1 species